rnacentral:rRNA from 1 species
CCCUUAGACGUUCUGGGCCGCACGCGCGCUACACUGACAAAGGCAACGAGCUACUCUUCACCGAAAGGUGUGGGUAAUCUUUUGAAACUUUGUCGUGCUGGGGAUAGAUCCUUGCAAUUUUUGAUCUUAAACGAGGAAUUCCUAGUAAGCGCAAGUCAUCAACUUGCGUUGAUUACGUCCCUGCCCUUUGUACACGCCGCCCGUCGCUACUACCGAUUGAAUGGUUUAGUGAGGCCUUCGGAUCCGCGACUCGUUUGUGGAGAAGUUGGACAAACUCAGUCAUUUAGAGGAAGUAAAAGUCGUAACA